GUUUCUCAGAAAAUUGGUUACAAAGAUGCCAGGUGGCUAGAACCACAAGGUCUCAGAACAGAAUGCCCUACAUAGCUCAGGGUGGGCAAAAUGGAGUUAGCAGGAUUAUUUAAAAUGUAUUUAUUACAGCCAUGCUAGGGUAUUUCAGACUGUUUUGUCAUUAAUUUUCUGAUUGGAAAAGACCCUGAUCAUUCAGCCAAACCAUUGGCCAUAGCCUGUGAAUCAGUAUGUAGUCACCUACAGGAGCACCCAAACCUGUCACUUCCAAACAGCAUUGCUAACUGCCACCGACAAUUAACACACCAUUGCAUCUGCUGAAUCAUAUGGCUCACUUGCACAUAUGGGAGCUUAAAUGGCAGCCUGGAACUGUUGCAGAGUUUUCGUUUAUUCUGGGUCUCAUUCAAAAUCAGCAACUUUUUGGAUCACUCAUCCUUUUCUUUUCCCACUUUAUCGAGUAACAUUAGAAGUGUAACAACAACAACAACAAAAACU